GACGAACGCUGGCGGCGUGCUUAACACAUGCAAGUCGAACGAAGAGCGACGGAAGCUUGCUUCUAUCACUCUUAGUGGCGAACGGGUGAGUAACGCGUAAUCAACCUGCCCUUCAGAGGGGGACAACAGUUGGAAACGACUGCUAAUACCGCAUACGAUCUAACCUCGGCAUCGAGGAUAGAUGAAAGGUGGCCUCUACAUGUAAGCUAUCACUGAAGGAGGGGAUUGCGUCUGAUUAGCUAGUUGGAGGGGUAACGGCCCACCAAGGCGAUGAUCAGUAGCCGGUCUGAGAGGAUGAACGGCCACAUUGGGACUGAGACACGGCCCAGACUCCUACGGGAGGCAGCAGUGGGGAAUCUUCCGCAAUGGACGAAAGUCUGACGGAGCAACGCCGCGUGAGUGAUGACGGCCUUCGGGUUGUAAAGCUCUGUUAAUCGGGACGAAAGGCCUUCUUGCGAAUAGUGAGAAGGAUUGACGGUACCGAAAUAGAAAGCCACGGCUAACUACGUG
rnacentral:rRNA from 1 species